GGAAAGAGUGGAAGAGGAGAGGAGGAGGAAGAGGAGAGGAGGCGGAAGAGGAGAGGAGGAGGACAAUGGCGCGGAGUUGGAAGAAGAGGAUGAAGAAGAGGAAAGAGUGAAGAGGAUGGAGAGGAUAUAGUCAGAGAGAGAGAAAAAGAAAGAAAGAAAGAAAGAGAGAGAGAGGAAAGAGUGAAUACCAAAGACAAGAGUAGCACAGAGUAGAGAGGAGGAUGACAAAAUCAUGAAAAGAUGAUCAUAGAGAGAGAGUUGUCUAAAGAGGAUAGAGAGAGAGAGAGAGAGAGAGAGGUGUCUGAAGAGGAGAAAGAGAGAGAGGAGAGAGAGGUGUCUAAAGAGGAGAGAGAGGUGUCUGAAGAGGAGAGAGAGGUAAAGGGAGGAGAGAGAGGAGAGAGGUGUCUGAAGAGGAGAGAGAGAGGAGAGAGGUGUCUGAAGAGGAGAGAGAGGUGUCUGAAGAGGAGAGAGGUGUCUAAAGAGGAGAAAGGGAGGAGAGAGGUGUCUGAAGAGGAGAGAGAGGAGAGAGAGUGGUGUCUGAAUAGGAGAGAGAGGUGUCUGAAGAGGGGGGAGAGAGAGGUGUCUAGAGAGGAGAGAAAAGAGAGGAGAGAGAGAGGGGAGGGUGGAGAGAUAGAGAGAGAGGAGAGAGGAGAGAGAGAGGGAGAGAGAGGAGAGAGUGAGAGGUGUCUAAAGAGGAGAGAGAGG
ensembl:lncRNA